CCCCCCCUAAGAUAAAAUAUCCCUCCGCCUCAGGCGGAUAAGGCAACUUGUAGACUACGAGUUUGAUAGGCCAGGUGUGUAAGGCCCGUAAGGGUUUCAGCUGACUGGUACUAAUCUGCCGAAUGGCUUGACCAC
rnacentral:rRNA from 1 species